rnacentral:lncRNA from 1 species
UCGUGCCACCGAAAGGGAUGGAAAGUGAAUUCCAAUAAUCCUAUUCACGUGUAGUGAAGGGAAACUAUAACUAUUCGGUCUCUGUUACCAUAAUUUUCUUUCUUCCCUUCCUGAGGUAUGAAAACUCUCCUUCGCUGUACUCAUUAGUUUUUAUCUCUAUUUUAAUUCAAUUAUUACAUAAAAUUUGACAGUAAGUAAUAAGAAUCUUAUAAAUUACAGAUUUUGAUGAGUAUCAAAUCAUAAUUUCUGUGUAGUUGUUUUUCUGUCAUCACACUUUAGAUGGAGUCUGAUCAUCAUGUGUAGUUGAAUUGGUUUCAUGGAAACGGAAUUGCUCUCAUCCUUGUUUCCAAUGAUGUAUGUUGUUGUUCAUAUAAGGAAAUUUAAUUUGACAAACUCAGAUUACACAACAAGACUCCACGAGAAGGGAAUUGCAUUGUACCUAACUGAUUGACUGGCUAAUUAGGCCCCACUUGUGUGAUCUUGAGCAUGUGACUCCACCUUGAUCAUGUUUUGAUAUGAUACCCCUCUUGUUAAAUUAUUAGGUAAGGGUCUUUCUUUCCCCCUAGUACUAUAUAUUAGGGUAGUUUUUGUGUUUACUCCCUUCAAUCAAAAAGAAGUGCAUCCCUUAUUUUAAAAUACCCAAAUCCAAAAUUCAUGGGCAGCCGUGGAAAGUUUAUUCACAUCAAUUCUCUAGUUUCAAUAUUUAAAUUUCUAAUUAAAUAAAAAGUUAUUGACAUAAGAUUUAAUAUUUAAAAGUUCAAUUUUUGACUUAGACAUGAUUUAUAAUUGGAUAUAUUAUUUUAUUUCAAAAUAAAUUGAUCUGGUGGGAAAAGAUUAAAAGGGUGUCAAAUAAGAAACAUCUAAUUCCUCCUAAUUACACAAAAAAAAAAUCUAAUUAAGCCAACUAUUUUUAUUUAUUUAUUUACCAUUAUUUGUGUACAUGAGGCCGUUUGGUUAAUUUGAACAUAAAAUUCCAUUUGGGCACUCCCUAUAGGGAGCUAGCUUAGAGGGCGCGGGAGCAACAACAACUAUGCCAAAAGCCUUGGGUCAAUGCUUCAUAUUUUCUUAUUAAAUAAAUGUUUACACAUCCAUUUCCCAACCAUAUAUGUGUGUGUGCCAUAUGGUUAGCUCUUAAAUUAUUUUCAAAGUGAUUUCAUCGAAUGCGGCAAUGUGGGUUUAUGCAUUCAAUAAUUAUUCUAAAUUAAUAAUCCCAAUAAUGUAGAGGGUGAUAAUCAGUGGAGCUUAGAUCAGGACAUGUCAUUAUUUAAACUCUUGAUCACUUGGUGGAAUGUAUCUUGUUUGUAUAAUUUGCUGCUGGCGCAAACUAUUAAGCGACAGUAACCUCAGGCUUAGCAAUUAUGUUCAAUAAUUAAGUGAUUUUCUUGAUCUGAUAUAACCAUAUAAUAUGCACUUCAUGCACUGAGAUUGGUGUUUAAUUAUAUAUAUAUAUAUUCCAUUUAAAAAUUGAUGCCAAGUGUUGGUUUAACGUAAAGGUACAACACACAACACAGUAUCAGCAGGAUUUGGAACUUUAUCAGCAACCAAAGGAAUCUCGUGGAGUUGUAUUUGAACGAGGAGAAAAAUUGCACAGCUAGGAUGAAAUGAC